UGAAUAGCAGAAAGUCAGCCAAAGAAGAUAAAGUUCUACUUGGCUGAUACCUUGUGAAUGUAUCCCAAGUUUGGCCUCCAAAGUCCAAGAGAAUCCUCCUUAGCAUAUAUUUGGUAGAUUAUCUCUUCCAUUGCAUAUCAGCAUGAUUCUCCUGCAAGGAAGCUCCCCAGCUUCUUCCACGUGGGAAAUUGCAUUAGCCAAGCGCACUGAAGCCUACUCAGAUGGUCUAGGCCAGUGAUGGGCAACCUUUUGGGCUUGGUGUGUCAAAAAUUGGCAAAAAAAUGAGCAUAACUCGAAUGCUCUGGAAGUCUUCCAGUUACCAGAUGGAUAAACCUAUGCAUGCAGAAUAGAGAGGCUGGCUCAAGUUUAUGGUCAUCAUCUCUGCUUCGGCUCUCCUGGUGAAGGAGUACUGGGGAUAUCCAUGACCUCAUGAGUUUUGAAAGAUCAGAAUGUGCUGUGAAGACUCUGGAUCCAGCCAAUGGUAAUUUGUCCUAGCUGCAAAAGACAGAUAGGAAGUUAUAGCUCUUCAGGAACAAAAGCCUGAUAGAUAAUCACCAGGGCUGCAAAUGUCUGAACUGUAAUCCUAGGACAAAGAACUAAGGAAUAGAGGGAGCAGGAUAGAACAGUAUGAGUGUUUGGGGACUGUGGAGUACUCUGUGGCUCCAGCUGGAUCCAAUUCUAGCCACUUAAAAGUCAACUGGGGUAAAGACCAAGGCUGGUGAACCAUGAAUUGUUCAGUGUGGAAGGAGUCUGAGAUGCUUUGAAAUACAGCCCUCAAGGAAACCACAAUCAAAAGGGAGGGAGUCAGAAAGUGAAUGAUAGGGAAAAUAAGAUGGGUUUGGGAAGAAAACUAAAAUUACCAAAGAUUUCAGAAAGAACACUCAAAGACCUGGAACAUAAACAAAUAAAUUAAGAGAAAAAACACAGUAAUAACAGAAGGAAAUGUGGCCUCCAGAUCUAAUAUAUAAAUUUAGGCAUCUAUGCAUAAAUACUUAAAAACAAAGGGAAAUGAUUCAACCCUUGAUAGGAAAGAGGACCCUGUGGAAUUUGAAGACACUGAACCUCAACAUACAGUUCAAAAGAGAAAUGAGAAGCAUAAGAGCAGAAUUUAUGACCUGCCAAGCUAAAACAAUUGGCAGAAUAGAAAAACUAGAAUCAGGAAUGACAAGACUCACAAAGAAAAAAGAAAGAACAAUGGAUUAAGAAUGCAAAUACACAGAAAUGACAGACAAUAUAAAAGAAAAGAAGCAAAAAAUAACACAAUUUUAUAUAUUUUUAAAUUUUUUUCAAUUAUACAGAGAAACAAUAAUUUACAAUUGUUUUCUGACAUUUUGUGAUUCAGAUUCUCUCUCUCCCCCUCUCCUUCCCUCCA